rnacentral:sRNA from 1 species
GGGAAGAGGCACAUGUCACACCUGCAAGAAGGUCCAAGGAUGAGAUUAAAAAUUCCGCAAAGGUCCAAAUUCUAGGGCCCAGACAGAAGAGAAGAGUCACAUCAUCUAGAUGAUGAAUGAAAAGAUAUGUCAUUAUUCUCCUUUGGGCAGUGCUUCUGCAGAAAAGUUGCACCUUCUAGGUGUUGGACUCAGCAAUAUAUCACAAUGUCUGCGGUAUUUUGGAAGGAGAGGAGAGUCACCAUUACUUAGGUGCUAGGCCCAGCAAUACAUCUCAAUCACUUCUUGGGCAAAGCCCAAGCAGUAAAAAAGAGUCACAUUACCUAGGUUCUGGGUAUAGCAAUAUGUCACAAAUGCCCCUAAGAAGAGGGCCCAGGAAAAGAGAGUCACCUUGGUGAGAAUGUCAGAGAUAUUCCAUUUUUGGGUAUUCAC